AGUGAACGCUGGCGGUAGGCCUAACACAUGCAAGUCGAACGGCAGCACAGUAAGAGCUUGCUCUUACGGGUGGCGAGUGGCGGACGGGUGAGGAAUACAUCGGACUCUACUUUUUCGUGGGGGAUAACGUAGGGAAACUUACGCUAAUACCGCAUACGACCUUCGGUUGAAAGCAUUGGAUCUUCGGACCUUGCGCGAUUGAAUGAGCCGAUGUCGGAUUAGCUAGUUGGCGGGGUAAAGGCCCACCAAGGCGACGAUCCGUAGCUGGUCUGAGAGGAUGAUAAGCCAAACUGGAACUGAGACACGGUCCAGACUACUACGGGAGGCAGCAGUGGGGAAUAUUGGACAAUGGGCGCAAGCCUGAUCCAGCCAGACCGCGUGGGUGAAGAAGGCCUUCGGGUUGUAAAGCCCUUUUGUGGGGAAAGAAAAGCAGCAGGUUAAUACCCCGCUGUUCUGACGGUACCCAAAGAAUAAGCACCGGCUAACUUCGUG
rnacentral:rRNA from 1 species